GGGCUCGGUCCGAGUUUCAUGGUCUCCAAUGUGUGUGUGUGUGUGUUUUCUUUAGGAACCUCGGUUCCAACCUCAUCUUGACCUUGAAACUACUUUGACCGCUCC
ensembl:ncRNA yrn-1 ncRNA